AACCAACUGGGAUUACCUUAGUAACGGCGAGUGAAGCGGUAAAAGCUCAAAUUUGAAAUCUGGUACUUUCAGUGCCCGAGUUGUAAUUUGUAGAAUUUGUCUUUGAUUAGGUCCUUGUCUAUGUUCCUUGGAACAGGACGUCAUAGAGGGUGAGAAUCCCGUUUGGCGAGGAUACCUUUUCUCUGUAAGACUUUUUCGAAGAGUCGAGUUGUUUGGGAAUGCAGCUCAAAGUGGGUGGUAAAUUCCAUCUAAAGCUAAAUAUUGGCGAGAGACCGAUAGCGAACAAGUACAGUGAUGGAAAGAUGAAAAGAACUUUGAAAAGAGAGUGAAAAAGUACGUGAAAUUGUUGAAAGGGAAGGGCAUUUGAUCAGACAUGGUGUUUUGCGCCCUUUGCUCCUUGUGGGCGGAGGAUACGCAGCUCACUGGGCCAACAUCAGUUUUGGGAGCAGGAUAAAUCUGUAGGAACGUAGCUUUCUUCGGGAAGUGUUAUAGCCUAUGGGAAUACUGCUACCUGGGA
rnacentral:rRNA from 1 species